CCCACCCCCUCGACACUGCUGCAGUGGGGAUGAAGUUUCCAGCACGUACCUUUGGAGGACUUAUUCAACCAUGACCCUUGCUUCUCAUUCAUGGAGGAAGAGGAGUGAAGAAUCCAAGUGGCAGACUUGGGAGCUCUAGCCCAUCCUUUUCCCGUCCUCUUAUUUUUGGGGGUCGGCCUGCCUGCUUAGCACUAAAUCACAUCACUAUGGGCACCACUGAGGGUGGUAUUUGAGUCACCAACACAACACUCCUGUAUCCAUCUGCAUUUGUCGAUGAGGCAUUCAUGGUGACUCCAACGAACUCAUCUAGAGUAAGCGA
rnacentral:lncRNA from 1 species